AUUGAACGCUGGCGGUAGGCCUAACACAUGCAAGUCGAACGCGAAAGUCCUUCGGGAUGAGUAGAGUGGCGGACGGGUGAGUAACGCGUAGGAAUCUAUCCUGUAGUGGGGGAUAACGUUUCGAAAGGAACGCUAAUACCGCAUACGCCCCAAGGGGGAAAGCGGGGGAUCUUCGGACCUCGUGCUAUAGGAGGAGCCUGCGUCGGAUUAGCUAGUUGGUGAGGUAAAGGCUCACCAAGGCGACGAUCCGUAGCUGGUCUGAGAGGAUGAUAAGCCACACCGGGACUGAGACACGGUCCGGACUCCUACGGGAGGCAGCAGUGGGGAAUAUUGCGCAAUGGGCGAAAGCCUGACGCAGCCAUACCGCGUGUGUGAAGAAGGCCUUCGGGUUGUAUAGCACUUUCAGUGGGGAGGAAAAGCUGGUGGCUAAUAUCCAUCGGCCGUGACGCUACCCACAGAAGAAGCACCGGCUAAUUCCGUGCCAGCAGCCGCUGUAAAAC
rnacentral:rRNA from 1 species